rnacentral:lncRNA from 1 species
AAAGGGGGAGAACAUAGGUGGAUAGGUAUUGAUCAAAAGAGGGGGAGAAAAUUGAAGGACAUAGGGGGAGAAGAGAAGAACUUCGAGAAAUUUUUACGAUGAAGAUGGAUAUGUAAGAAUAACCAAUGUUUUUAAUUUCUACAUCAUUUUGGAUAAUUUGUUUUGCAGGAAAAUAAGACUUCAAGACUCCUAGUUGCGUCUAAGUCAUAGAGUCUGUUUUAGGAGUUUUGAUGUAAUUUUGAAUCUUAUAUGUAUUUUGGAUUACACGCGAGAAGUUUGAUGUUUUGGUG